AAUUCAAUGAAAUAUAUAAUCCUAGCUUGGAUCCUGGUACAAGAAAAGCCUCCUUGGAGAAGCGGUUGGUUCCUGGCUUCCGGCAGGGAAAACACAAGAUCAGCCUGGAUUAUCUUUUGGUGCCAAAAAUAAAUGCUCCAAAAAGGAUGGGGACAUGUCUAAAGGGCAUAGGAAUCAACACGAAAGAGCUUCCGACAGCCAAAGCUGAGAUUUUUGAGCAGUAAAAUAAUAAUAAUGUAUUAUAACCCAUAGACUUAAGUAAAUAUCCAUGAGUUCAUACUGAUAAAUCUAAAUAAUUGAAUAAAUAAAUAAAUGCGAGGGAAAGAACAGCUCUUCCUUUCAAAAUAAUUUCAACUGAUAAAUGUAGAAGAAUGAGGGAAAUAGAAAAUUAUCAUUAGUACACCACAGAAACAAUUACUUGCUAAAAUUAAUAGGCAAAAGUUUGAGGAGAAACUGCUUAUUUUCAUUGCCUCAAAGAGUCUCCCCCAAGAUCUUUAUUAGUUAGAAAGGGGAAAACAGUAACGUUAUAGGGGGGAAACUGCUGACAUCACCUGAGCCAAGGUAGCACUGUUAGCAAUAGAUACAUGCAAUGUAUCUUAUUAGUAUCAUGUAUCCCUUGAUGUUCUGUGCUGAGAAGGAUACAUCAGUUCUGUGGUAUUCUUGCUAAAAUACAUGACCUUCAUCCAGUCAUGAGAGGACACAUCAAGAAACUCAAACAGAGAUAAUCUACAAAGUAACUGACCAGGACUCUUUCAAGGUCAUAAAAGACAAGGAGCCACAGAACACUUACAGAUUGGAGGAGACUGGGGACACAGAAAAACUAAAUGCACUACAGACUAGAUCCUGGAACAUUAAAAGGAUAUCCGUGGAAGAGCUGGUGAAAUCCAAGUGCGUUCCGUAGUUCAGCCUUUGACAUCUUCAGAGUGGGAGCUGGGAGAGGGACGAGAGGAAACCAUUCCCCAUGGAGGACUCCUUCCCAAGAUGGCUCUUGGCCAGCUCUCUUCUGUUCUCUCGGAGGCAUUCACAUUGCUGCUCAUUCCAAGGUGUAAGAACAGAAAGACCCCAGAAAGGAUUUUGCCUGCUGGACCAGGCCUACAUGUUCCAGUGUCCUUCUCUUCUCACUGUGCAACAACAAAAUACGUUUAAAAGCUGGUUUCCAAAGUCGAUUUUUACCAGGAUCUUAGAGCUGCCCCGUGAGUUCUUCUUUCAAUGCAACCUUCCCUCUCCAAACCGAGUAGCAUCAGCAAACCUAGCUGUGUGAGGCAAGGGCAAUGUUGGCAUCAUAAUGAAGAUUCCCGGGAGAAGAUAUACUGAGCAGAGUGUCCCUCUCUUGCUUCGUCUCACUGGAGGUUUAGAAGAGUCCCUUCCAGGGGUGCCUGGGUGGCGCAGUUGGUUAAGUGUCCGAAUUCAGCCAGCUCACGAUCUCGCGGUCCGGGAGUUGGAGCCCCGCGUCAGGCUCUGGGCUGAUGGCUCAGAGCCUGGAGCCUGUUUCCGAUGCUGUGUCUCCCUCUCUCUCUGCCCCUCCCCCGUUCAUGCUCUGUCUCUCUCUGUCCCCAAAAUAAAUAAACGUUGAAAAAAAAAAGAAGAGUCCCUUCUGGGGAAAUUGGUGGACAGGAUGAAGUGAGUUCUGGGACACCCAGGGCUCCCGACAGUCAGGGCCUGUGGCAGGGCUGUGAAUGCGCAGGAAGGUGCUGUCUGACAGGAAUGUACCCACAUUGUGAGCAGCUCAGUGUUGUCUGCUUCUCCUUUGCCGUAUCCCGUCUCUCGUGUCCGAGAACAGGACAGAACAGGAUUCAUCUGCAGAUCCAGAUGAGUGUCUUCAGCUGAUCGGGCAGCGAAGAACAGACGAUCAGGUGGAAACUUCUCCAGUGCAUGGUUGAGACCUGCCAAGUUCAGGUCUUCUUCUAGGCUGGCCAACCCCUGCAGAUUCUGUUUUCCAGUUAAAUAUAUCGGAAAUGGCAAUGAUGAUCUUGUGAGAACAGCCCUGAGCAUGUUGAGUGGCACUGCCCUUCUCUCCCCGCCCUCAAUCUUCUGCUAAUGGCCUUCUGGAUCAAUCUAGAGGUUUCUUAAGAAAAGAGUAAGAAAGAAAGAAAGGAAAUGUCCCUUCCUUAAAUAAAACUUGGGUGAAGCCCUAUGUUAAAAGGCUCUGGCCCUCAAGGGGACAGCAGCACAUUAAAGCCACAAGAGGCACCGGAACGGUCCAUGGGAGUAGUGGUGCCCAAAACCAAUCUCUCCUUUUUGCUAUUGACCGCUUGUUUCCUCUGGAACUGAACAAAUAAAGGCAAUGUAAACCUGAUUGCUUUAUCUUCCCUCUUCAAUAAUAACGAAUUCCUAUUUUCUCAAUAGGAUAGCAUUGUAGGAUAUUAUAGAGAAGGAGUGGUUGGAGGAAAUUUCAGACAGAGUUGGAAAAUAAAGAUAAACUCUACUGUGCCUGGGGUUUAAGGCCAAGACAGAAUCGUCCCUUUGUUUCCUUCUUGUUUGCCUUUAAUCCAUAAUAACACUCGCGAGGUGAGAGAUAGAAACACAGAGCAGGCUCUCAGAGAAUUAGUUCUGUUCGUAUGGAGAAAUCUGAAAAGCACCAUUCAUUUUUAGCAGGAGAACAGCAGAGCCAAUGCAAGGAAAGCUUGGCUCUUCCAUUUGGAAUGUGCAACUCAAGCUUGUUUUCCAUUCAGUGCCACAAUUGCAAGGGGCCAGAGGGUUUCGGCAAGGUAAAUGCAUGUCCUGGACCUUGGAAAAGACUCCUGAACUUAUCCCAGGCUAAAACAGUAGUAGCAACGUGAAAAAGGAUUUUGUGUUUUUGUUUUUGUUUUUAUUUGUUUUUUGAAGUAGUUUGAAGGUAAUGUAUUCCCCCACUUAGUGCUGGGAAAGUAGGAAAUUAAUUCCACUAGUUUCUAGUUUUAGUUGGAGGAUGUGGGUUGACUGUGCCAUCUGCAAGAAUAUAUUUCGUGGAACUGGUGAAGAAUGCUAAAAGUUACAUGAGGGGAUUCUCACAGAACAGGUUAAAAGAAGUUAAUCGCCAAGUUUAAUUAACAAUGAUAUUGAAUUAACUAGAACAUUCCACUCCUUAGCUAUGAUAGGUAGUGGGCUAUUUAUUAUAUUACUUUGGUCAAAUGUAGCUCAUGCUCAGUUUUGUCAUUAAAUAGCAAAAGCAUUAUUUCUUGGUAGCUAUCAUCUUAAUUCUAGAGAAAAAUACGCGCUUUAAACCACAAGAGGGCAGCAGCAUUACUUUCUUAAUCAAAUGCAUCUUUGGAAACUCAAUCCUGGGUCUAAAACCAUAAUUACGGUGUAAUAAUUACAUGCCUUUCUCCAAAUGACUCUUAUUAAUUCUGAUGGUAUUUCAUGAGUAAAGUUAUUUUUAAAGUG